UUUAACCCUUUCCACCUUCAAAUGCAGUAAAAGCUCUUUCAGUGCCCCCUGUUAAUUCCUGUGCAAAGGAACUUUUCUCCUUUUGACAAAGCUGUAUCUCUCUGAUGCCAGCAGGUCUGAUGCCAUGUAGACUCAUCCAUAAACCAAAACCCCCCAAAUUCUGCUGGUGACACCAGCGGGAGACCUGCUGUUCUUCCCUCAUCAUUCCUUGCAACUGGAAGGGUAGAGAAGAAUGCUACUUAUUCUUCUGAUCUCUUAACCAGUUGUCCCAGUGCCCUAAAGUGUCUCUGGGUUGUCCUUGUGCUUGUUGCAACUUCUGUUUCUGUCAACUUGAAAAAUCAGUCAUGGAUAAAAGUCCGAGGGUUGUACCAGGAAGUUUUCUCUUCACUGCUUUAACCUUGUUUCCCUGGAGGCAUCAGGCUUCCCUAGAAAGUCUGGCCUGCAUGUUGGGCCUUCUGUUCCUUCCACAGGGGAGUCUCCCAUGACAAUGAGACAUCUUAGCAGGGUAUGGGCUGAUUAACCUCGGUAGCACCUCCUAAUUCAGCAAUCCACUACCCUUGGUUAUUGCUUGUUUCCUCUUGCACAGCCUGGCCCUGUUGCCCAGGGGUACCUGGGGAGGUGAGGCACUCACAGAGAUGUUCCUGCUGUGCCAGCCAGGGACUGGCCACUGUUGCCCCCUCUCCUUUAAGUCACUGUUCAGCCAGGUGGAGAGUGGAGAGAGCCCCUUCAUAUCCUGGAUUAUCCUGUCCUGUCUGCAGGACUCCCCAGCCUACUCACCUCCAGCUGCCCCUCCACCUCCCCCACUUCAGGUUAUCCCCCUGUGCACCACACUGAGCUCUCUGCUGCUGAUUUAAACUGCCCACCUCAGCUCCUCAUUUCAAUAAUUAUCAUCAAGUGCUCAGAAAACAAAAACAAAAACAAAAUGCAAAACAAACCUCUUGACCAAAAGGAAAUAAAGUAUCAGAAGGUAUUAGAAAAAAAAACCCUGCACACCUGAUUUUUCAUGUGUGUGUGAGCCUGUUUAGCUCUAUUCAGUUUUUUGUUUGAAUUGUAUAAAACUGUUGAAACAAAAUAAUUUAUUAGCUCAGUUUUAUUUGCAAGGAAGGUUCAGUUGCCCUUUAUAUUAUUGUUAUAUCUCAAGACAAUGUUUCUUUACUUAUGAGCAGAUGUUUGAAAUCCUCCAGGAGAUUUUUGUAAGACUAUGGAAAUGAACUUGGCAUGGGUACCGGUCUCCCAGGUGGAGCGGGUGAACACAAACCUCCUUAGAAGUCUCAGAUCAAGGCUAGUCAGAAAGAGCAACAGAGCCCAGCCACCAAAAGCCUAGUGCUUUGGUGACUGACAGGUACAGGCUCUUUCUGAAGCAUAAAAAGGAAUGCUAAAUGAUCUCACUGACAGAAUAAAUCUUCUAUUUGUUUGGUCUGGACCAGAUGUGCUAAAGGCUGAUGUGGAAAUGUCUGCUGAUGCCAAUCUCAGUUUAAAUCACAAUUUGGCAGCAGGGCUUUUUUCACCCCCUCUCUGCUCUACCCCUAUCUUCUAUUUUUUUUUUUUUUUAAGUUGCAAGGCCACUGAAUGUUCCUUAAAAAGUUUCAGCAAUGAUACAAUAAAUUGGAUAUGGCCUCACUUGUUUUCCAUAGGACUGUGAGGAGCAGCCUUUCAGGUUUUGCUGCCUGAAUAGCACAGAAACCAGUGGAAAAAUUUUCAGGGGAAACUCUUUAAGGCAUCAGGCACUGCCCCAUCCUAACACCAUCUGUCCAUAUCUCAUUAUGCAGACUUGGAUGCUUUUCUAAAACAUGGUCCAACAGGAAUGGCUGAGAGUUCUCACUCAGUUAGUUUGACAGACCCCUAUGGUUUGGGGAUGCAUGCUUGUCUGACAGAGUAUAAAAAAAAUCUGGUUAAUAAAUUUAAGACAAUGAAGCACUUUAAAACUUUUAAUAUUUUUAUUAUUAAAUAAAAAUUACCUUUGGUCCCCACCAUGCCUGGUGUCAUCUUCUGCAAAAAUACGAUUAAAAAAAUUAAUUGGAAAACAACACUUUGCAGACUCCUAGAAUGGUUUGGGUUAGAAGGGAUCUUAAAGAUUAAUUAGUUUCAACCCUCUGCCACAGGCAGGGACAUCUUCCACUAGAACAUGCUUCAAGCCCCAUCCAGCUUGUCCUUAUUUAUUUUGUCACAGAAUAUGUCAUCAAAAUGUUCUAAUUUUUCUCUAUAAAUUAAUUUUUCUUAGAGGUUUAUUGGAGGACAUUCAAACAUCAGGCAAGGAAUAAAAAAACGUAAAAAAAAAAAAAGGAGAGGAAAUGAAAUUGUUACAAAGAGCUAUUGUAGAUAUUAUUAUAUAUUUUAUGAUAAAUAAAGACACAAGGACCUCUGAUAACAUUGAAAUCUUGAACAAGUUUGACACACUUGAGCAGAAAGUCUCUGGCUGAAAGACAUUAGUAUUUUCUGUUAGAAACAAACAUAUGGAGAAACCACUGAAAAGCAUUGAAAAAGGACAUGCAUGGUCAAACUUUGCUGUCUGUAAAACCCAGUAAAAUACACUAUUUGAAUGAUCAGAUUUUUCAGAUUUUGUCAAUAUAUGGGUGGGAAAACUUCUAGAUUGUAAUUUUUUGGUCAGAAAAAAAAGCCACUCUGUUUCACAGUAGAACAGACACACACACCAAUCGUAUGGGCAUCCAAGGGAUUUGUUGUUCUGUGCCAGAGUUUUACAGAAAACUGUCUAUCCAAGUCCUCAAAUUGUAUUUUCAUUGACAGAAGAAGGUGGGUAACCUUCACAAAUAAAUCAGGUUUUUCAUUCUCAGUUGUCAGACCAUUUGCUUUGUGGUCAGAUAAGCCAGUUCUUUGGUCAAAAUGUGCUGCAGGAGGAAUUUCUGGGGACAAAAAAACCCUGCAAAAUUGAACAGAUCAUUGCAGCAGAGAUGGAGGAUGCAACACUAACUUGGACAGGAUCCACGUCUUUUACACUGUGGGUUAGGGUGACUUUUGGUAGAAUCUGAAAAUUCUGUGAGAUGUGCAAGGUGCCUUUAGCUGGUGAACAUAAUGCCAACAACAAGGAUUGUUAGGAAAGAUUACAAUAAGGAUUGACCAAGCAGCUUCCCAAGAACCUCAUUUAUAUAUAUAUUUUAGGUGCAUCCUAAAUAUUUUUAAGUUUGCCAGGAUGAAAACACUUAUCAUCCUAACAAUAAUUUUAUUAUCAGUUCCCUGUUUCUGUACCAGUUCUCCAUUGGUGACCACAGUUCCCCAAACACAGCCAGGGGAGCUGUUUCUGGCAGACUGGUCAGAGUCCAGAGCUCAUAUUGCAGGUCUGUUGGUAAGCCAGGGACUGAAUGUGCUUUAGAAAUUCUUUUUGGCUUUUACCUUUCUUGAAACAAGGUGUUGAGAAAAUCUUACUAAUGGCAUCUUUGUUCACAUGGAGAUGCAGAAUCCAAAAAUCACCAGUUCUUUAUUCUCUCCUCUUCUGCACCUACAGGAGACACUGGGCCAGGUCAUGGGACACUGACAUGCUGCCAGUGGUGACCUAUCCAUUGUUAUAAUUGAUAUAACCUAGGGAAAUAAAAGUGAUCCUGUGAAAUUACCUAGGUCUUACUCAUAGACUUUUCUUCAAAGGCAUCUGCACUCUGACUGCUGAAGCAGUCUAUUGUUUUGUGGGUCUGUUAGAUGUGUCCUUGCUCCAGGAAAAGCUGACAGCAACAAUAGCAAAAAAUAGGAGUGAAUAUCAAGUAUACCCUGUAAUGCAUAUUUCAUCAGAGCUCAGCAGCUCUUUCUCUGACUCAAAAUAAAUUCCCUUCUUUCACUCUGACUCCCAAAAUAUAAACACAACACAAAGCCUUUCCAAAAUACAAUCAUCAAAAGUGUGAGUCCACCUUCUCAGGAGUGCUGUAACUUCAGAGUACUGUUUGCUUAACUGGAAAUCCCAAAUUAUAUCCACAAUUAAUGGAGAAGCUGCUACUUUAAAUUUCUCUGAAUACCAAGAUUGACUUUUUCUCCAAUUAAUGUGAUGAAAACAUGCUUUCUGUUCUUAUUUAAGAUGUCAGUGUGUCAGAUUGUUUCUUUACAGCUCAAACAGGAGACACGUGUUUACAAAAAAAUAAAAUAGAAUAGUUCAGUCAGAGCUGCAGUUAAUAAUUUCAGAAGUGAUACAACAAGAUAGAAUUACUAUUGUAUUAAGGUAUAACAUGACAUAAUUAUGACAGGCCUUGACAUGUGCUGGGCAUAAUUGUCAGUCACACAGAAGUUGCUGAAUCUUCACCAAAUAAGUCUAAAUGCAAGAAAUCAAAAUACAAUUUAAGCUGGACAAAUUCAGGCUGAGCAAAAGACUGAUAUAUUUUAAUAAUUAGAGGAAUUAACCUUUGCAGCAAGAAUUUUGAUGUAUAUUCUAUCUAAGGUAAAUUUAGAUGAAGGUUUUAAAAUUUAUUUUAUUUAACUAAAUAAGGAGUUCAUUUAAGCACAGGGAUAUUCAAUGUCGCCCAAACUAGACAAACAGUAAUUUCUUCUAAUUGACAGAAAAUCUACUGUUAAUGCUUCUUCCACAAAGCUGUCAAAUAUAUUUCUUAAAGAAAGGUAGUUGCUAUCAGUCCUCCUUUAGGAUAAUUAACCACUGUUUUACAGCUUCUACCUGCAUGUGAUUUAUCGAGACCUGCUUUGCAGUGAGUGAUGACACAGCCAUGGCAUCUCACCCAAGUUUAACUGUCUAAUUAUUAAAUGUGUUGUCUUCUCUAUCUAUUUCUGGGGUUAGUAAUUUAAUUACUAAGACAUAAACAGCAGUGGAACUAUGGAUGGCCAUUAACAAGCUGUUUGUAAAACUAGAUGGUCCUUCCAAAAUGGAUUUUAAUUAGCUGACUGACUUUGCAUUGAUAAGCUCUCAGACAUUCCAUAAUUGUAUCUCAUGAGCUUUCUCAAAUAGAAUUAGCACUUUCACAAGUUUUAUUCAAGCUUGGCAGGAGAAUUUCAGAAUAUUACAGCAUGAACAGUCCUAGAGGUAGAAUCUUUUUCUCCUUCAUAGUUAAUCUAGAAACUUUCAGGCUAAGUGCAUUUUCCAAUUCUAUGGUAUUGGAGGAAAAGUGUAAGGCUUUUUAGCCAAAGGGGCUAUAAGUCAGAGUUAUUUGAAGGAUUAAUAUGCCAGAGGCCAUCAUCUUUCAAUAUUGAAAAACGAGUUAAUGGCUUUCAUUGCAUAGACUAUAAAACCACAAGGGAUCCUACUAAAUUUUGACCUUCUGUCUAUCAUUGGGCACUUAGUGUUACCCAAUAUCAUACCCCGGAUUUGAGUUAGUCAAGGAAUUUAAAUUUCAGGGUUUGUCAGGUGUGUGUCAUUGGGAGAGAAAAGGAGCAGCCAAGGUGUGACCAAAACCUGAGGUUGCAAAGCAUGGAAAUCAAUUGGAUAUCCUUUUCCUACUGCACAUUUGAAGAUAAAUUGCACCCUAAUUGUACCUUAGCAGUAAAUGGCAACCUACUACAUCCACAAAAUCCAGAUCUUUGCCUGUCAGACCUAAGUGGAAGUUUCUUUCCUGAAUGCAGUGAGUGCUCUGACUGUGAAAGAGCAAAAAUUGCAUGUGCCACCUUGGAGUACUGAGCACCACUAUCAUGGAUGUCUCUGAGGAAAAGGGAGAAAGAGAAACCAGCCAACCCCAAAUAUAUCUGGUUAAUGGUGUACUCAGGAAAAAAAAAAAUACUCCUGGAGCCCUUCAGGCAACGAGACAUGACACAGAAUUAUUUUUUGUCAUGAAAGCAUUUUGAACAUGUCAGGAGCAUUUUAUCUGUUUAGCAUGCUGUGAAAGAGAAGUCUGAGACCAUGCAUUAGUGGGGUUUGAACCAUCCUUCCCAUCCUUCUCUGAGAUCCUUCAAGGUCAUGGCUAAGUUCCAGUUUGCAGGACAUGGUGAGUAAAGACUGUGUGAACACCUACAGGGCCAAGUUCUUUCCAGACAGAAAGAAGUUUUGCUUUUCAGAGGAUAGGAGAGAAAAAAAAGGAGAAACAGACAAUGCAUUGGUUG
rnacentral:lncRNA from 1 species